CACGUUCAUUAGAGCUUGUAAAUGAGGAGGAGGUUUUUUUGGUUGCUGAAUGUGACUAAUGACUUCUUGUUGCAGCAACAGAGUUGUUGGACGGAUGACCACCUGACUUGGGGUGAUAAGGUUGUUUGCCGCUGGUGGAAUACUGUAGACCAGACAUCUGAGGGGACUGGGGAGAGGUAUAGUGUGGACAUUUUCCUGGUGGAUGCUGUCCUCUACAUCUCCAGCACUGAACUGGGAUUUUCUCAGCAGUUGAUGUCCUAAUUUUACCAGCUCUUCCACAGUAUUUACUCGGCUACGCAAUUGGCUGGCAAGUACGGACACGUUCAGCCAGUUUGUCCUCAUAAUCCUCAGAAAGGAAAGCAGAUAAAAAUGCAGUCUCAAACUCAUUCCAAGUGGUUAUGGUGGACCGUCUGACCUCCCACCAGUCUCGUGCUGUUCCGUACAAGUCAGUACGGAAGGUAGCCAGGAUGUCUGCAUCUGUCAGGGGAUGUACAGCCAAAAAAUCCUGACAUUUGGUUAGGUACAAUAGGGGGUCUGCAUCGUCUGACGGCCUUCCAAAUGUGGGGAAGGUUAAUUUAAUAUGGUCACUUUUAACCACAGAUGUUAACGGAGGGGUUAAAGAAGAUGAAGGAGUCACUGGAGCAGAAGGAGAUGGCUGGGAUGAGAUACUGGUAGUGCUGCGACCUGGUGGCGUCAAUACACUUAACUUUUGUUGAUCUGCACUUCUUUUAACACUUUGAAAUCCUUUCUCCACUUCACUUUUCAACUCUUUGAAACCGGUGUGACAUUGAUCAGUUUGAGUAACACAUUGUUGGAGUUGUGAAGUUAUCUUAUUAUGGCUUGUUUGGAAAGUGUUUCGAACAGCUUUGAUGUCCUGCUGAACCUCUGCUUGGAGUUGAUCAACCAUGAAUCGUAGUUCGGACACCAAGGUAGAUUCCACCUUCUGGAGUUCUUCCGUGAUCAUUAACUUCAUCGCUUUAGUCAGGUUAUCUGCUUCA